UCCAGGAGACAGGGUAUGUUCUGAGAAACCUGACUAGAUCCAGGAGACAGGGUAUGUUCUGAGAAACCUGACUAGAUCCAGGAGACAGGGUAUGUUCUGAGAAACCUGACUAGAUCCAGGAGACAGGGUAUGUUCUGAGAAACCUGACUAGAUCCAGGAGACAGGGUAUGUUCUGAGAAACCUGACUAGAUCCAGGAGACAGGGUAUGUUCUGAGAAACCUGACGAGGUCCAGGAGACAGGGUAUGUUCUGAGAAACCUGACUAGAUCCAGGAGACAGGGUAUGUUCUGAGAAACCUGACUAGAUCCAGGAGACAGGGUAUGUUCUGAGAAACCUGACUAGAUCCAGGAGACAGGGUAUGUUCUGAGAAACCUGACUAGAUCCAGGAGACAGGGUAUGUUCUGAGAAACCUGACUAGAUCCAGGAGACAGGGUAUGUUCUGAGAAACCUGACUAGAUCCAGGAGACAGGGGUCCUGAUGGUCACCCAGGAGACGCGGGCAAUGGUGGACUUCCUGGAACAGACGGAGAGAAGGGAGAUCCCGGUCGACCAGGAAGCGCAGGCCCCCUCGGCCCGGUGGGAGACGCUGGACCUAAGGGUGAGAGAGGGAGUCCCGGCUCGCCUGGCUUCCCUGGAGCCAAAGGAACACCAGGAACUAUUGGAGGCCCAGGAGACAAGGGAGAACUGGGGAGAAGAGGAGACUUUGGGUCAAAGGGGACCCCGGGACCAGACGGAGUUAAAGGAGACAAGGUAUGACACAACAUCGCUCACACACACUUGCUCUCACACGCACGCGUACACACACACACACACACANNNNNNNNNNNNNNNNNNNNNNCUAGAUCCAGGAGACAGGGUAUGUUCUGAGAAACCUGACUAGAUCCAGGAGACAGGGUAUGUUCUGAGAAACCUGACUAGAUCCAGGAGACAGGGUAUGUUCUGAGAAACCUGACUAGAUCCAGGAGACAGGGUAUGUUCUGAGAAACCUACAGGAACAGCGCCAGAACUGGGAACAGACAGGCGACAAUCAAUGCAGCAGCAGGGAACAGAGCAGGGAACUGACACAGGCAGGGGAGGUAAUAAACAGACACGGUAUGUUCUGAGAA
rnacentral:lncRNA from 13 species